rnacentral:lncRNA from 1 species
UAAGGUAAGGUUAAAUCGAAUUGAUUCAGAACUGAUUCAGAGUCAUUAGUCUGAACACUGAAUCGACUCAUGAGUCAUUCACAGUCUGCAUGAUCAUAUCUGACUCAGAGUUUUUAAAUACUGUGCAGAAGUAUUUAUUACAUUGUUUUCCGAGUCAUGUGUGAAGUGAUCCGUUCGGUUUGUGUUUGUAUGAAUCUUCUCGAGUGUGUGUGUGUGUGUGUGUGUGUGUGUGUGUGUGUGAGAGAGAGAGAGAGAGAAGAGAGAGAGUGUGUGUGUGUGAGAUGUGAGGCCUGUACUGUGUGUGUGUGUGUGUGUGUGUGUGUGUGUGUGAGAGAGAGUAGAGAGAAGAGGUGUGUGUGUGUGUGUGUGUGUGUGUGUGUGUGUGAGAGAGAGAGAGAGUGUGUGUGUGAGGAUGUUGAAGGCCUGUGAGUGUGUGUUUGUGUGUGUGAGGAUGUUGAAGGCUGUAACUGUGUGUUGUGUGUGUGUGUGUGUGUUCUGCACAGGCGAGUGUGUGGCAGGAAGAGGAAGGGGACGCCGGUGAAGGUGUGUGAAAGAGCGGCGUAUGUGACGGAGGACGAGGAGGAGAGUCUGUCUGAACACAGUUACAGCCCAGGAGACGGUCAGUACGCAGAGGGAUCUGAAGGCCGGCUUCCUCCAGCGGGCAGCCCGUACUUCCUCACCGACCCGUCUCAGCUCUGUGUGCCUGAGCUGUCUGAAGAGGGCGCUAGCGGCGUCCGCGGCCCUGUGCUGUUCCACCCAGCGCCCAACUGCAGGAUUAGAGAGGUGCAUUGUGGGAGUCAGGUCCGGCUCGUCGUCAUAGCCAUCCGAGACAUUGCCAAAGGCGAGGAGAUCACCGUGGACUACAGUCUGACGGACUGGGGAGAGAAUGCCAUGGGCUUUCAUACUUCGGUGUCCCCGCGCGGGUUUGAAUGUGUCUUCAGCUCCGAAAUCCGGAGGCGUCUCCUUCUCGCUCUCGCUGUCUCCGCCUCCUGCCUCCAGUACCUCAAAAAAGAGCUCAACGACAUUGCCGAAGAAGCCCACGGCUAACAAGAGCCCUGCCGCCUCGCCCAACCCUCCCGCCAGGAGAGGACGGCCACCGAAGAAAGAGAAAGAACAGCAGCAGAAGAAGCAGGAGGAGGCACCUCCCACGCCUGGGAAACUCAACACAAAAUGAUGUAGAGAAUAAAUCAUAAUUCCUGGACAUUUACUUUUGAUUUGUUUUCUGUUUUUCAGUAUCAAUAGUGAUUCUCUUUAGAAUAUCAUUACUGUAAUACAUUAAUAUAAAUACAUAAUGUAUAAAUAUUUUGUACAUUUAAAUUAUACUUUUUUCUAGUAAUAUUUUUUUGUCAUUUCAUUAAUAAUAUUUGCAGCUAAAAAUCACAUCAAAAUGCAAAAAAUCUCAGUGGUCUGAGAAGCUGGUGUCAUGUUCAGGCUGAACUAUGAUAUCUGGACCUGUUCUUUACAGUGAGAUUCAUCCGUCUGUAUUUCGAAGUGUUGGUUGCCUUAACUUUUGUUGUUUUAUUGGUUUGAUAUUGAUCUCGUCUGGCUGCAGCUGGUAUUAAACCCAGUCACACUCAUCAUCAGUCAUGUUUUAGGGAUCACUGAGUUUGGAGAUCAGCAGCGUUUCAUUCCAUUGGAGUUUAUUUUGCUCAUCUGUGCCAAUCAGACCAUGAUUGAUUCCUGAAAUCAGACUGUUGAAGGACACUGAAUCUCCUCGCUCUCUCUCCUGUACAGUCAUCUGAUCUCUGAUCUGUGUACAGUGAUGUAUCGUAACAUGAUGUUAGCCGUUAAAAGUGUUUUCAUUGAGUGAUCAUGUACAUUCUGUAAAUAUGACUUAUAUGAAGUAACACGUUUAAAAGUUGUUUUCUUAAAUGCUGUUGUAAAGGUAUAUCAGAUUUUAGAGAGAUGAUAUCUUGACAAAUACAGAGCUUAAAGUAACUGCAAAGAAGAACUGAAUUUCAGAUUGUCAUGUCUUUUUAUUAAAUUACAAACAUGGAAACAUCUGUCGGUGUGUAUCUGGUGUCAUUUAUGGUUUAUAUUAAUGGCCCAAACAAAAUCUGACUGAAAGAAAAAAAAUUGUAAUAUCAACUUCAAAUUUGGAGCACAACUUCUUUAGAUUUAUGGCUUUGAUUUUCAUGUUCAGUUUUACAUACAAACUUUUCUCUUCAGCAAUAAUCUUGAAGUGUUUUCUUUAAAAAGAGACCAAGUCAACUUUAUUUGUAUAACACUUUAUACAAUACUGGUUGUGUCAAAGCAGCUUAACAGAGUCACAGGAAAAUACAGGUGCAUCUCAAUAAAUUAGAAUGUUGUGGAAAAGUUCAUUUAUUUCAGUAAUUCAACUCAAAUUGUGAAACUCGUGUAUUAAAUUCAGUGCACACUGACUGAAAUAGUUUAUGUCUUUGGUUCUUUUAAUUGUGAUAAUUUUGGCACCCAUAUUUAACAAAACCCCAUCCAAUUCACUAUCUCAACAAAUUAGAAUAUGGUGACAUGCCAAUCGGCUAAUUAUCUCAAAACCUCUGCAAAGGUUUCCUGAGCCUUCAAAAUGGUCUCUCAGUUUGGUUCACUAGGCUACACAAUCAUGGGGAAGACUGCUGAUCUGAUAGUUGUCCAGAAGACAAUCAUUACACACUUCACAAGGAGGGUAAGCCACAAACAUUCAUUGCUAAAGAAGCUGGCUGUUCACAAGCCACAGGAACUCCAUCGGUGACAGAGAUGGUGGAAAAACCUUGGGAGAAACCAGGCUCAGUCAAGGGGUCAGUUCUUCUCUGACCAGACCAAACCAGCAUGAUGUGCCAGACGCCAUCGAAUGUGAGCAUUUGCCCACUCAAGUCAGUUACGACGACGAACUGUCAGGGGAAAACUUACUUUUUGAUAAAUAAAAAGCCAACAAGGCAGAAACAAAACAGAAACCGAUCACGGGGACAAGAGCAGACACAGUAGAAAUCCAAAACACAAUUAACCAUGAGCACUUAACAAAUAACAAUUAAUCCAGCCAGACAGAGUGGUGGGAGUAUGUUGUAUAAAUAGGCCAAGACAAUGGGCACCAGGUGUGUGUGUGUUUGAGUGGGUGAACAGGUGUGUGGAGUAAAGGUAAAUGAGUCCAGGAGAAUUGGAAAUGGUGCCCUCUGGUGGUGAGAGGGAGAAACACCAGGUCCGGACUCAUGACAGGACCCCUCCUCUAAGGAAUGGAUUCCAGACGUUCCAGAACGCCUAACCAGGGGGACGGCCAUGCGGGGGCGGAGCAGGGGGAGGACGGGGGUCCAGGUCCAUGUGCUGUAGGGGGACCUGGGGACUGAGGCAGAGCCGAUGGAAUGGGAACCCAGGGCAGAACCAGCGGCCACCACAGCAAUGUGUGUGGAGCUGCCCCCUUGGAACAGGCAAUGGCAGACCCCGCCGCCUUGGGAACCUGGUGAGCGGCCACCGCCACCUCGGGGGGAUCGUGAGUGGCCACCGCCGCCUCGUGGAACCUGGUGAGUGGCCACCGCCACCUCGGGAACCUGGUGAGCGGCCACCGGUGCCUCUUGGAACCUGGUGAGUCGGCCUGGUGAGCGGCCACCGGUGCCUCUGGAACCUGGUGAGCGGCCACCGCCGCCUCUGGAACCUGGUGAGCAGCCACCGCUGCCUCUGGAACCUGGUGAACGGCCACCGCCACCUCGGGGGGAUCGUGAGCAGCCACCGCCACCUCGGGGGGAUCGUGAGCGGCCACCACCGCCUCGGGGGACUCGUGAGUGGAAGCCGCUGAUAUGAAGUGUUUCUUGGAGGUUAUAGUACAUUGAAGAAUGAUCAUAUGACUUUUUACAUACACCAUGUGACCUUUAAAUGCGAAUGGAAUGGAAAACGCACCUACUGAAAGCUAACACCAUGUUUUCCUGAUGUUAUCUCCCAAGGGUAACAUGGAAAGCGUGAAAAGCAACGGUCCUAGUACUGAGCCUUGUGGUACUCCAUACUGUAUUUGUGAUCGUCAGAUAAGUAAGAUUUGAAACAUGACAAUGCAUGACCAAACAUAAGUCUAAGCUCCACAGCAGUCAAGAUUUAUGACUGUUGACGGUGGAAAUGACAUUUUCAGGUCUAUGCCCAAAAAGUGGUUAACAGCUAAUAAAUAGAUCAUAACUGUACUAUAAAUAUAGUUUGGUACCAUAAAAUCCCCUGAAAA